AUAGGCAUUCUCAUAUGUAGUUAUUUUGAUGGUAUUAUCUUUAUUUCAUCAUAUAAAAGAAUCUUGUUUUCCGUAAAAAAAAAACUUUAAUUUUGUCACAUUUUUAUCUAAAGACACUUAAAUGAGAUUAUAAAAUCUUGAUAAUGCCAACAACUUUAACUUUGGUUGGUAUAGAGAUUUCCUUUUGGUUUCGGUUCAAACGCAAUCGUCAUAUGGUUACAAAUUCAUUUUCUUAUGGUUACAAAUUCACUUUUAUUAAGUAAAUAAAUAAGAUAUUUAAGAUUCAACCUUCGACUUUAACUAUAACAUACAAUAUCCCUAUCAACUAAGCGGAGACAACUUAAUUGUUUAAUUUGGAGUGCAGAUCCUCUCCAUUAAGGGACGAAAUUGCAAUGUCAAUUUCUAUUCAUAAAAACGGAAAAUAAGAUAUCAAUGGCUCUGAUUCAUUCAAAUAUUUAAUUUAAUUUUUUUAAUUAAAAAAACACAGAAAACCACGCCCCUUCCUCUCGACCACACCUCAUCGUACUGCCGCUAUAGUUGUGUUACGUCAUUGUUACUACUCGUAUUCAUGUUGUCAUCGUUGUUCUAAUUCGUAAUCGUUUCGCCGUCAUAUGGCAAUGAGUCUGUUCAUCCAUCCCCUAAAAGAAAUUGGUCUAUUUAUGUCUCUGAGGUCCAAUUCAAAUUGGAAAGAUGCACAACAACUCAGUAACAGAGAAGGAGGAAAUGCACAGUACCGACGGUGCAGGUUGAAGAAGAAGGGUGUGUUGCUGAAAACGAGUAAGGAAAUAUUAUUAUUUUUUAUUUUUGAAAUAAAUAAUUGAUAUGCGUAUUUGUUAGAAGUAAAUCACAGCCAUUAAUAUCUUAUUUUUCCACAUGUCAUGUUUUUUUUUUUUUUUUUAUGAAUAGAAAUUUAGAUUGCAAUUUCCUCCCUAAAUGGAGAGGAUCUACACUCGUGAAUUUGUGAUUAAAAAAAUAAAAAAAUUCACAAUUCUCAACAAGAAUAAUUGAAAAGAAAAUAGAAAAACUGCAAAAUAAUCUAAUCCAUAAGCUCUUUUCAUUUUCAAUAUCAAUUUCUUUCUCUCUCUAAUGUGGACGCAGCAGCAACUUGAAAAUGGUUGCCUGAUCCAAUAAAAAGUUAUUCUGUCAGCAAAGGAUUCACUUUUCUCCCUUUAACGGUAACACUUUUUACUUUCUUUUGCUUUUUGUAAUCUAUGUUAUUAUGUUUGUUUUGUUGUUUUUUCUGGGUAAUCGUCAUUUGGGCUACUCGUUAUACAUUCAGGGAUCAAAAUGACUGUUACCCUGUUGUUUUUUAGUUUUAGUUGAAAAUUUUAAUCAAUUAGGGAUGUGAUUUGGUACUAUCUUUUGGUUUGUUUGUCCAUUUUGUAAACACAGUUGUAAAAUGUUGGGAUUAGCACUAACACUUCAUAUUGAAAAGAACGUAUUAGAUGUCUGACAUGUGUUGGUAUGACACAAACCUAUAAUACAUAGGUACGAUACCUAGUACGGGUACGUUGAUCUAAAACGUCAAGAAAAAGAUUUUUCAAGUGAGUUAAUACAAUUGUUGUUGUAAAAACAUGGGAUAGAAAAAAAUCAAUUAUAAUAAAAAACAGUAGUAUAAUACUAUUCGAAAUUGAAUCACGUGUUUAACCACACUUCUAUCAUCAUGUUUCAGAGAUUUACAUUUUUUGACAAUUUUUUUAAGAGUUUUGACAUACUAAACAACAAAGACACGGUAUUCCAAAUCCAAUGACUAAUCUUACAUACCACCAAGCAUCACUAAUAGGCACACAAAUGCUUUCAUAGUUCCAACAUACUACACAACAACACAUGGUAUCAUCCUCAAUGACAAAGACUCUAAUAUGCAAGGGUUGAUUGACUACAUUAGCGACUCUGACCUGUGUUAGGAAUUGACACAAUAUACAUUUCAAAUAUCAAUCAUUGAUUUCCUUACUCUACUCAUUUUAGAGGCGCCAAAUCAGAAGUAAAUUGGAUUCAAUCUGUUUUUUGAAUUUUUACAAAUUCAUAAUAAAGGUAAUCGGAUAUGCAGUACAAUAUGUUCGAGCUUUGAAUAGGAAUUCGGUGAAUUGGGUAAAGAUCAAAAAGAGCUAAAACUAUGUUGCUGCUGUCACAUCUUUUUGCGAAACUAAAUUUUCAGCAUGUUUAGUGGUUGAUGAAAUAAUUCGGAUAUGAAGUCAUGUUUAGUGGUUUUCAGCUUAUGUACUUUGAGUCAGAGCUUGCUGCAUCAAAUUGUAACAGAUUUCUGACUUGUUUUUCAUGAUUUGUAUUGCAAUUUUAUCCAUUUGAUUGGUGUUUGUUUUUGCUUCUCUUUGGCACAUAUUGUUACUUCAAAUGAAUGUAAUAACAUAUUUUUGUGUUUCUGAAGCAUGGGUACUCCAAACAUGGUGGUGAUGUACCCGUACCGGGUACGCACCCGAAUUGGGUACGUGUACGGUACGAGUACCUUAUGUACCAAGCCGUACACAUGUUUACUUAGUUGAUUCGUCGUGGUAGAUGCAGCAAAAACGUACAGGCAGUGGAAAAAUACCGAAAACUAUUUUGCUUUUUUAUUGUACUUCGAUUCUCUCUCUUGCUUUUGAUGAAAACGGUGGAGGUGGACAAAAAAUGUAAAUCUCUGAAACAUGAUGAUAGAAGUGUGGUUAAACACGUGAUUCAAUUACGAAUAGUAUUAUACUACUAUUUUUUAUUAAAAUUGAUUUUUUUCUAACCCAUGUUUUUACAACAACACUUGUAUUAACUCACUUGGAAAAUCUUUUUCUUGAGGUUUUAGAUCAACGUACCCGUACUAUGUAUGUUCCCCGUACCGGGUACCAUACCUAUGUAUUAUAGGUUUUGUGUCAUACUAACACGUGUCAGACAUUUAAUACGUUUUUUUGCAAUAUGAAGUGUCAGUGCUAAUCCUAACAUUUUACAACUGUGUUUACAAAAUGGACAAACAAACCAAAAGAUAGUACCAAAUCACAUCCCUAAUUGAUUAAAAUUUUCAACUAAAACUAAAAAAACAACAGGGUAACAGUCAUUUUGAUCCCUGAAUGUAUAACGAGUAGCCACAAUGACGAUUACCCAGAAAAAAACAACAAAACAAACAUAAUAACAUAGAUUACAAAAAGCAAAAGAAAGUAAAAAGCGUUACCGUUAAAGGGCGAAAAGUGAAUCCUUUGCUGAGAGCAAUGCCAGUACGAGCCAUUCCCAAGUCGACACCAAGAGAGAACCCUCCUCUCCAUUCUUCAUCUUUCUUCCUCCGAAGCGCGUUUGGAGGAAGUUCUUCCAAAGUUAAUGGUGUUUUUAGAUUUUGGGUGGAAUUUAAUUUUGAUAAAGAUUGAAUUUUUGCAUGAAUUGAAGGUGGAAAUGAGUGGAAGAGUUUCAAGGGCUGCGUCCACAUUAGAGGGAGAGAAAUUGAGAAGAGCUUAUGGAUUAGAUUAUGAGAACUGAUAGCGACAAUUUACUAAAGCCACGUCGCACUUCUUUCAAUUAAAAAACUAGGCAAUUAGAACGUUAAGUUGAUAAUGAUAUAUCGAAUCUACCAAGAUUAACAAAAACACAAGAAAAUGGAUCAAAGCUCUAGCCUCCACCAAGAAAAUGGAUCAAAUGAGAAAGUGUUUCUGCCAGAAUGUUUUUUUUUUUUUUUUUUUUUUAUAAAAUAAGAGUUAGAAUAUCCCCAACAGGCUGAGCCGGUUAACCAGUAAAAGAAUGCCUGACGUGGGAUGAUAGAUGAGCGAGUGCUUGAUGGCGUGUGACAAAGUGACUGUAGCUAGCAGCGCUCUUAGAUUAUUUUGCACUUUUUCUAUUUUCUUUUCAAUUAUUUUUGUUGAGAAUUGUGAUUUUUUUAUUAUUUUAAUCACAAAUUCACAAUACAGUUGAGAUUAAACCAUUAAGUUGUCUCCACUUAGUUGAUAGAGAUAUUGUAUGUUAUAUUUAAAUUUGAAGGUUGAAUCUCAAAUAUCUUAUUUAUUUAUUUAAUAAAAGUGAAUUUGUAACCAUCUUACGAUUGAGUUUGAACCGAAAUGAAAAGGAAAUCUCUAUAUGGAAGUUAAAGUUGUUGGCAUUAUCAAGAUUUUAUCAUCUGAUUUAAGUGUCUUUAGAUAAAAAUGUGACAUACUUAAAGUUUUUUUUUCCACUACAUGUACGUUUUUGCUGCAUCUACCACGACGAAUCAACUAAGUAAACAUGUGUACGGCUUGGUACAUAAGGUACUCGUACCGUACACGUACCCAAUUCGGGUGCGUACCUGGUACGGGUACAUCACCACCAUGUUUGGAGUACCCAUGCUUCAGAAACACAAACAUAUGCUAUUACAUUCAUCUGAAGUAACAAUAUGUGCCAAAGAGAAGCAAAAACAAACACCAAUCAAAUGGAUAAAAUUGCAAUACAAAUCAUGAAAAACUAGCCAGAAAUCUGUUACAAUUUGAUGCAGCAAGCUCUAGCUCAAAGUGCAUAAGCUGAAAACCACUAAACAUGACUUCAUGUCCGAAUUAUUUCAUCAACCACUAAACAUGCUGAAACUUUAGUUUCGCAAAAAGAUGUGACAGCAGCAACAUAGUUUUAGCUCUUUUUGAUCUUUACCCAAUUCAGCGAAUUCCUAUUCAAAGCUCGAACACAUUGUACUGCAUAUCUGAUUACCUUUAUUAUGAAUUUGUAAAAAUUCAAAAAACAGAUUGAAUCCAAUUUACUUCUGAUUUGGCGCCUCUAAAAUGAGUAGAGUGAGGAAAUCAAUGAUUGAUAUUUGAAAUGUAUAUUGUGUCAAUUCCAACACAGGUCGGAGUCGCUAAUGUAGUCAUUCGACCCUUGCAUAUUAGAGUCUUUGUCACCGAGGAUGAUAUCAUGUGUUGUUGUGUAGUAUGUUGAAACUAUGAAAGCAUUUGUGUGCUUAUUAGUGAUGCUCGGUGGUAUGUAAGUUUAGUCAUUGGAUUUGGAAUACCGUGUCUUUGUUGUUUAGUAUGUCAAAACUCUGAAAGAAAUUGUGUUAUUUGUGUUUCAUCAUCAGCCAUCGAUCCUUAUAAUCGUGUAUUUACUUUAGGUUUUGAAACUGCGAGGACAAAAACUCGAGGUCCGGAUAAUGAACAUCGCAGAAGAAGAGGUCUGGAUCUUUUGUCAUGUGUGAGGCUUAAAAUUCGGUUGAUAAAGAUCGGUUUUGUAACCUUAGAGAUAACCAAGAUGAUAUUGAAUUAUAGGAAGCUGAUGAGUUUAUAAUUGGACUUUCAAAGUCUUCUGAUGGAGAGGAAACGAUACAGUCAAACAUAGUUCGUUCUGUUGCUGGAAGGCUUGCUAUUCGAGCUGCUGAGUGGUAAUCCAUUGUAAUAUAGUGUUGACAAUAUAAAUUCUUUUAUCUUUGUUUAUAGAUUCCAAAAUAAGAAAAUGAAUAGAAAAGGGAUGAAUGGUUAAUGUUCAUUAUAUUCUGAUCACAAUUCACAAGCACAUUCUUUAGUGUCAAAUUUGUAUAUUAUAUUCUAUUCUUUUCAUUUUGCAUACUGCUAAAUGACGAGAACCCAGAUAAACCUCCAAUAGUUCGCAAACAUAAAAAGUGAUCUGGGCUCUGUCUGGAUAAAAGCUUAGUCAAGCACUUAUAGCAUAACCGUUUAUCAUCUAAAAGUUUACGCUAUUUCUACAACAAAAGAUAAAAUAAAGGUGAAUUGUUUUCAUAUAAGUUGUUUUCAUGUGCUAUUCUUUUCAUUUUACAUACUGCUAAAUGACGAGAACCAAGAUAUUCCUCCAAUAAUUCACAAACAUAGAAAGUGCUCUGGGCUCUGUCUGGAUAAAAGCUUGGUUAAGCGCUUAUAGCAUAACCGUUUAUCAUCUAAAUGCUUACGAUAUUUCUACAACAAAAGAUAAAAUAAAGGUGAAUUGUUUUCAUAUUAGAUAUAAGUUGCUUUCAUAUUAUUUUGCCGUUCAAAAAAAAAAAUUUGUUUUCAUAAGCUAUCCUGGAAUGCCUAUGGAAAUAAAUAGAAAAUGGCUAAUGAAGUUACCGAAAGGAAAAUCAAGUUACUUAAAAACACAACUGAUUGUUGGUCUUUCGUUACCGAAAGGAAAAUCAAGUUUGGGCUCUGAUGUUUAUUUAGUAUUUGGCAAUAAAUUUGAAUAUUAUUUCUCGCACUUAAUAGAGGUUGGUAAAUUGAUGUAAUUAUUUUGUAUCACAAUUUUUAUUUCUAUGUUAUAUCUCAACUCUAACUUCAGGGGUUGGAGAGUAUAUCUACACGAUGAAUAUGGGACGACAAAUGCCGCCAUAGAUCGAAUGAUCAACAUGUAAGUGCUUUUAAACUUAUUUAUUGUUUGUCUGUUUUGGAUGAAAUGGCACAGUUCAUAUACUACUUGGAUCUUUUCCUGAAAGUGUCGUUUUAUAACUCUGCAGAAUUCGAAUUUAUCUUUUAUAUUUUAUAAAUUUAGAAUUACAUAUUGUAACAGUACUAAAUGAGUAGGCAGAAAUUGAAACCUGCAUGGUCCAUAAUAAAUGCUUAUGAAGAAGUAUGCAUGUUUUUGGGUUACAAAAGAAGUAUGCAUGUUAUUUCUGAAUGUCUUGAGAAAUAUUUCAUAAAUUUAUUUUAAAUCGUUUAAAACCAUUUUGGAUAUAAAGGUGUUUGCCUAGAAGAAAAGUGUUUUACCAACCCUCUCAUCGGUGAUCACUAGUCUCGGAGGAAAUACUUGUAUUUACCAUGCUAUCGACGCUAUAGAGUGUGAAAGUCAAAUUUAUAUUAAUACACACACAGACAAGAAUCCUUUUGAAAGAUUUCAAGAAACAUUUGUAUGGAAUUUAUUACUUUACUGUGGAAUUGACACGCUUAAAACCCUUUCAGGGGCGUGAAUAGGUCUCAGCAGAAGAAACAAGAUGCCUAUGCUGUCGUGAUAAGUGUAUUUGUGAUAUCAUGUUUUUAGGGAAAUUAACAUUUUUGGAAAAAAUAAAAAAUAAUGAGGAAGGGAGAAAUUAUAAUUGAUUAAAAUGACGUUGAUUUCCAUUUUACAAUGGUUUCUAAGGAGAUUUGAAUUUUGUUCCUUGAGGUUACGAGAUCAAACUCUUAGCACUGAGUUGACAUCUCAUGGAUGAAAAUAUAUUUCAUUUAUUAAAAAUAAAAGAAUGUUUUAAGAAUAUAUAUUUUCAUGUUUUUCCUGUUUUGAAGUGCCAAUGAGAAGAGAAGACAAUUAUGGAAUGAUCGUCAUUUUUUUUUGUCUAGAUGUUACUUGAGAGAUAUUUCUCCACAUCAGGUCAGAAAGCUGAACUUGUUGUGCCCAAGAAUCUUGAACUACAAGGAAAACUUAGAAGUGGUCCUCCUAGAGAUGAUGAUUAUUUCUCAGACGAAGAUUAAUCACAUAAUAAAGGAGCUUGUACCAUUCCAUCAUUCGUGUUUUCUAAUUUCAAGUAUGUGUGAGGAAGUUGCAAGAAAAUGGAGGCAUUCCAACAAUUGUUAAUCAACACAAUGAUUUGGUGUGUUUAUAUUUCCAUUACAAAGCUUCAAAUUUAAGGAAGUAUGGGAAAAAAUGUCAAAAUGUGUUAGUUACCGUUUAUUUUGAUGUAAUAGUAAAAAUGGUAGAUAUUGCUAGGGUUGGUUAUUGCAAAAUCAACAUCAGAAUUUGUUUUAAGUUGAAGUUCUUUGUGAGUAAUGCUAGUAUUCAAGGGUCAAUCAGCACAGUCCUACAAGGAGGGUCUUUUGUUGACAAAAUCAAUGGACGUUUUGUGACUGCAAUGAUAAAUGGGUGUAUUUAAUUAGUUUAAUUGAGUAACUUUCAAUGUACAAAAUUUCUGAAUGUUUUUUCUUGCAUUU
rnacentral:lncRNA from 1 species